CGGAGUUUUCGGACAACUGAAGGGAAUCCUCAGUGGCGGACGGGUGAGUAACGCGUGAGCAACCUACCUUGGAGUGGGGAAUAACAGCUGGAAACAGCUGCUAAUACCGCAUGAUAUGUCUGUAUCACAUGGUACUGGACAUCAAAGAUCUAUCGCUCUGAGAUGGGCUCGCGUCUGAUUAGCUAGUUGGUGGGGCAACGGCCCACCAAGGCGACGAUCAGUAGCCGGACUGAGAGGUUGGCCGGCCACAUUGGGACUGAGACACGGCCCAGACUCCUACGGGAGGCAGCAGUGGGGAAUAUUGGGCAAUGGGCGCAAGCCUGACCCAGCAACGCCGCGUGAAGGAAGAAGGCUCUCGGGUUGUAAACUUCUUUUAUCAGGGACGAAGCAAGUGACGGUACCUGAUGAAUAAGCCACGGCUAACUACGUGCCAGCAGCCGCGGUAAUACGUAGGUGGCAAGCGUUAUCCGGAUUUACUGGGUGUAAAGGGCGUGUAGGCGGGAAAGCAAGUCAGAUGUGAAAACCAUGGGCUCAACCUGUGGCCUGCAUUUGAAACUGUUUUUCUUGAGUACUGGAGAGGCAGACGGAAUUCCUAGUGUAGCGGUGAAAUGCGUAGAUAUUAGGAGGAACACCAGUGGCGAAGGCGGUCUGCUGGACAGCAACUGACGCUGAGGCGCGAAAGCGUGGGGAGCAAACAGGAUUAGAUACCCUGGUAGUCCACGCUGUAAACGAUGGAUACUAGGUGUGGGGGGACUGACCCCCUCCGUGCCGCAGUCAACACAAUAAGUAUCCCACCUGGGGAGUACGAUCGCAAGGUUGAAACUCAAAGGAAUUGACGGGGGCCCGCACAAGCGGUGGAGUAUGUGGUUUAAUUCG
rnacentral:rRNA from 1 species